AGAAUCUGAGUGUUUUGUCGCAUGGUGGAUAAUCCACUCUCCCCUUUUGCUAAGGUAAGAUCCACAUGCUAUCUCUCUCUCUCUCUCUCGUGGAAGAGUUCGGUUGGCGCAAUUUAACGAGCAAUUCGGCAGUCGGUGUAAGCCGCUAACUUGAGGUCUACACUCGCUUCCACACAAUUCUGUUGCUUCACGCAUUCUUGAUCUUUGACGCUCGCAUUUAUUCCAUGGUGUCGAUCGGGCUACCUGUGAUUUGCUUCGUGUAGUUGCUACUAUCAAGACGCGCGCGAAGAAACUCCCGUCUCGUUGCAUGAGAAAAGAAGGAAUUUUUUCCCCUCACUUUGCCUGAAAAGAUCGAACAGGAUCGAUGUCAACACGCAGUGUUCUCGGUGUUCCAAAUUGCUCUAACAGGAGCCGAGAAAGGUUUUGAUCAUAAUGGAUGUGCUGAAGAAAGGGCUCAAACAAUUGGCAGCAGAUCGAUCUGCAGGUCUGUGGACAAGUAGCUUCGUGUCAGUAAGAUGGCGCAUUCCAGGAGAGGCAGAUGGCUCCUCGAUGUGGCAUCAGGAUCAGGUGGAUUUAUAUGUUUCCUGAACGCUUUCAAGGUCGUGAACGUUAGAAUAUUAGCAGUACCUGCAACGUACGUUGGGAAAUCCAGUUUUAUCAGCCUUUAGCUUUGAAGGAUGGGGUUAUUUUAGCCUUCCUUGUACUUUGUUAUAUUCAUUCAUGUUGGAUUUUUACCUAGGAUCAUCUUGUUGGGUCCAUAGAUCCUCUGUCUUGAUGCCUGCUGGUUGUACCAAUCGACUAAAUAACAAGUAUGAAUCCGAUCGUCACUUUGCUUUUAGCAAGGGCUUUCAUAUUUCCAGCUUAUGAAGAAAUUCCAGGUUGCAGCUGAAGAGAAGACCACUGGUGGUUUGCUGUUGAUUGAGGCUGCAAAGAUUUCCACUCAUUUCUCUCUCCAUUAGAUGUUGUAGUUUUUAUGGAGAGAACAGUCUUAUUUUUGUCUCCUUUUUUUCUUUUGUAUUCCUGUGCAUUUCGGCUUGUACAAAACGAAUUAUUUCCAUCAACCACAGCAUCUAAGCUUUAAAGUUUCUUCCAAGUA